UGACAGGACUGACACCAGAAAACAAAAUCCAGCAUUUAUCCCAUCCAUGUCAGCAAAACUCUCAGGAGGAGGAUGGAAAGCUGCUCAGAAACCUCAUCCUCCAGACACAGCAAGCAGUAGAUAAGUGCUGCAGUCCAUCUGUGUGGGCUUUCGGUGUUGAGUCCUUCAUACCAGAGCUUCCCACUGCAUUUCAGAUGAGGUUACAGGAAGCUUGUCUCAUGAAGGAAAGCACAAUUCUACAGGAGUCCUGGAGGGAGAAGAGUGCAGCUCAGACAGCCCUAGAGCUCAGCUGGUGGACUUGUGACACGGCUCUCACCAGCCAGAAAGCUCCAGAGAGUAUCCUACCAGGGCUGCUGGGACACAAGGCACACAUACUUCCAACCCUUCCUUAAGGCCUGCUCCACCAACCCCUUCCAAGCCUUCACUUGGAUGGGCUGGAAAACUAUCACCUAGAGAGAGUAACUGAAGGAGGCAGCGAGCUUCAAGCAGUGUUGUGCUUGAAAGUGUUUCUGGUCUCCCAGUGUUUACUCUUCUCUCCAGAAGAGUGGGUAGGUGGCAGAGCACUCCUGGAGGCUGCUGUCCUAAAGCUGCUUUUAACAAGGAUACCCUGUUGUGUUUAUCUGUCAUGGACUUCUCAAAACUCUAAACUAACUUUGUCUGACUUAGUAUACUGACAAUUGUGAGAUGUUUCUAAAAGACCUUUGCUAUCAAUGGAGCAAUGCGUGGGUCAUUCUGUACCCCAGAAACAACUGGAUUUGCCUUCAUGGCCUCUCCCUGUAACAGCUGUGCUCCAUCCCACUGCAGCAUAGAUCCAGUGAGGAUAGAUGUGCACCCCUACCAAUUGAGAAGCAGAGACAGCUUUCAACAAAUGGUUAAAAGAAGUAUCUGGCAUGCAGCCAAUCACUGAAAAAUCCUAAAGCAGCAUUGAUUUUUUUCCUAGUGAAAGAGAAGAGCUCUGCUCACACAGUCCAUCCUGCUCCCAGGCACCUGCAGUGCCCACCCCUCCUGUUAAUUCACUUCAGGGCAGGUUGUUAGUUAAAACAUACUGCUGAAAGUUGUCCAGCUCAGGUGAGGUGCAGGCUUAAGUGCUGGGUGUCUUUCCCCACCCUUCCCCCUAAACACGUCCUGCUAAGGCUUAAAGUAUUAGAUUCUUCUGGGAUCUGCUUAGCACACCGAGAAAAUUGUCUUGUUAAAGCUAUGAUGGAUUAUGUCAAAGGCAUACCCAGGGGCUGGGUACUGGGUAAUCCAAUAAAGUCCAAGCCAGAACAAUGUUUCA
rnacentral:lncRNA from 1 species